AUUUGUAUGACAUUGGUUAUUUUAUUCAUGAGAUAUUGUGUUUUAUCAUUUGCUACCUCAUAUUUUAUGAUUAUGAUAAAUCUCAUGGAUUAGGACAAUGAUUUUAGGAUCAUGAUGAGAUCAUGCCAGUGAAACUUAAAAUUUUGAUAGCUUCAAUCUAAAAUAUUUUCAAUCGUUGGAUUAUCGAGCCGGAGAUCGAUGAUGCUGG
rnacentral:lncRNA from 1 species